rnacentral:rRNA from 1 species
AGGAAGGUAGUGUAGUUAACACCUGCAUUAUUUGACGUUACCUACAGAAGAAGCACCGGCUAACUCCGUGCCAGCAGCCGCGGUAAUACGGAGGGUGCGAGUGUUAAUCGGAAUUACUGGGCGUAAAGACGCAUGCAGGCGGCCUCGUUAAGUCAGAUGUGAAAGCCCGGGGCUUAACCUCGGAAUUGCAUUUGAAACUGGCAGGCUAGAGUCUUGUAGAGGGGGGUAGGAAUUUCAGGUGUAGCGGUGAAAUGCGUAGAGAUCUGAAGGAAUACCAGUGGCGAAGGCGGCCCCCUGGACAAAGACUGACGCUCAGAUGCGAAAGCGUGGGGAGCAAACAGGAUUAGAUACCCUGGUAG